rnacentral:rRNA from 1 species
CGGAGGAAAAAGAAACCAACAGGGAUUGCCUUAGUAACGGCGAGUGAAGCGGCAAAAGCUCAAAUUUGAAAUCGGCCUCCAGGUCGAGUUGUAAUUUGUAGAUUGUAUCUUGAGAGCGGAUUAAAGUCUGUUGGAACACAGCGCCUUAGAGGGUGACAGCCCCGUAAAAUCUAUUCUCAUUGUAAGAUACUUUCGAAGAGUCGAGUUGUUUGGGAAUGCAGCUCUAAGUGGGAGGUAAAUUCCUUCUAAAGCUAAAUAUUGACGAGAGACCGAUAGCGAACAAGUACUGUGAAGGAAAGAUGAAAAGCACUUUGAAAAGAGAGUGAAAAAGUACGUGAAAUUGUUAAAAGGGAAGGGUAUUGAAUCAGACUUGGUGCUGUUGUUCAACUGUGUUUCGGCACAGUGUACUCAGCAGUACUAGGCCAAGGUGGGGUGUUUGGGAGUGAAAAAGAAGUUGGAAC